rnacentral:rRNA from 1 species
AGCGAACGCUGGCGGCAGGCUUAACACAUGCAAGUCGAGCGGGCAUCCUUGUGGUGUCAGCGGCAGACGGGUGAGUCACGCGUGGGAACGUGCCCUUCGGUUCGGAAUAACUCAGGGAAACUUGAGCUAAUACCGGAUACGUGCGAGAGCAGAAAGGUUUAUCUGCCGAAGGAUCGGCGCGCGUCUGAUUAGCUAGUUGGUGAGGUUAUGGCUCACCAAGGCGACGAUCAGUAGCUGGUCUGAGAGGCUGAUCAGCCACACUGGGACUGAGACACAGCCCAGACUCCUACGGGAGGCAGCAGAGGGUAAUGUUGGACAAUGGCGGCAAUCCUGAUCCAGCCCUGCCGCGUGAGUGAUGUCGGCCUUAGGGUUGUAAAGCUCUGUUCACCGGGACGAUAAUGACGGUACCGGAGCAAUAAGCCCCGGCUAACUACGUG